rnacentral:rRNA from 1 species
GACGAACGCUGUCGGCGUGCUUAACACAUGCAAGUCGAACGAAGUGGCGAACGGGUGAGUAACGCGUAAUUAACCUGCCCUUCAGAGGGGGACAACAGUUGGAAACGACUGCUAAUACCGCAUACUGAAGGAGGGGAUUGCGUCUGAUUAGCUAGUUGGAGGGGUAACGGCCCACCAAGGCGAUGAUCAGUAGCCGGUCGUGGAGGAUGAACGGCACCAGUGGGACUGAGACACGGCCCAGACUCCUACGGGAGGCAGCAGUGGGGAAUCUUCCAAAAUGGACGAAAGUCUGACGGAGCAACGCCGCGGGAGUGAUGACGGCCUUCGGGUUGUAAAGCUCUGUUAAUCGGGACGCGGUACCGGAAUAGAAAGCCACGGCUAACUACGUGCCAGCCGCCGCGGUAAUAC